rnacentral:rRNA from 1 species
UACGUAGGGGGCGAGCGUUGUCCGGAUUCAUUGGGCGUAAAGAGCUCGUAGGCGGCUUGGCAAGUCGGAUGUGAAAACUCCAGGCUCAACCUGGAGCCGCCAUUCGAUACUGCUAUGGCUAGAGUCCGGUAGGGGAGUGUGGAAUUCCCGGUGUAGCGGUGAAAUGCGCAGAUAUCAGGAGGAACACCGGUGGCGAAGGCGGGACUCUGGGCCGAUACUGACGCUGAGGAGCGAAAGCGUGGGGAGCGAACAGG